UGAAACGCCUAAUUUUCCCCCUCUGAAACGCCUUAUUGAGCAUUUAAGUGGAAUCAUAUUGUGAUUUUUUGUUCUUUGUAUCAAUUUUGUCUUAAAGCUCGGUGUGAAUUGUAAAUUGAAUCAUUAUAUCUAUAUUAACCUUAUUAUUAGGUUUGGUAUUGGCAGGUAGACAAGCAUCGAAUGGUGCUGUGGAACAAGGUUUUCAUUCUUAUAAUGACUCGAACAAUGCUACCAUUUUUGUUGGAGGACUUGACUCGGAUGUUAGCGAUGAUGAUCUUAGACAACCCUUUUCCCAGUUCGGUGAGGUCAUCUCUGUGAAAAUACCACCUGGAAAAGGAUGCGGGUUUGUGCUAUUUGCAAACAGGUGACUGCUCCCUAUAUGUACUUCACCACAUUGUAGUACUAUUGAUGAGUGUUCUUAUUUGCAAUCCAGAGCUUGAACGGAAUAACCAUAGGCAAGCAGACUGUCCGACUUUCUUGGGGUCGAAGUAUUGGAAACAAACAGCGGAGAGCUGAUUUUGGAAACCAGUGGAAUGGAGGUUAUUAUUGACGGUAAGGCUACGGUGGUUACGGCUACGGUUACGGUUAUGGCUAUGCAACACCACCAAGUCCGGGUCCUAGCAUGUACGCCGCUGCAGCUGCCGUUCCUAGUGCUUCUUAAGAGUGGUGAGGUAUGGAAAUUUUAACAAUGGCAUGUAAUCUGAAAUUGCAGAAAAGGUUAUUCAUUAUUUAAGUAGGAUUGGUUUUGAUUGCUGCUUUAGCUUGAUGUUCAGAUUACAUAAGUUUUGUAGCUGGAUUUUGUUUUUAUAUCUUUUGGACAUGUUUUUAGAACUUUAUUAAUAUGUUAUUUUACAAUUUUGAUUUUGUGUUUGAGAA